AAAAAUCCAUUUGUCACAAACAUAUUGGGUGCCCAUGCUAUUUCAAAUACCCUUCUUGGCAUUUGUUUCACUCUCUAUGUAGUGAGAUCUCGGUAACCACAUUUUUUAAAUCUCUCUAGUCUUGGGUAGAAGAGUAAAUGAGUAGAAAACAUUCACUACGAUUCACAACUUUUAUUUUCCUUUUCUACAUACAGGUACUUUAGCUUAAACAAGGCUCAGUUUCUUUAUGAAAAUUAUGUGCGUGAGUCUCUCAACAGGCCCCUAGUUUUCCUAAAGUGCUGCAGGUCACAAAGACUUUCUGACAUCUUCAGGUCUCUUAACAAAGAAGGGUCCCAGCCUUUGCCUCUGAGUGAAACCAGGAUCUAACUGAGUCCAAGAGGAACACAGACCAUCUGUUUCCUUUGGUGAUACAGUAUCUCAGUCCACAAUGUGGUUCCAAAUGAAUAAUGGAGAUUGGUUUUUACAAGCCAGCUUUAUCUGUUGCAGCAAUGAUUAAUAACCCCAUGGCCAACCUUGCUUAUAAAAAGAGAGAAAACAUGUGAAAACAAUUUUGUAUCUGAGUGAGAUGAAUCCAUAUUUUGUAAGUAAGAUUAAAGUCAACAUAAGCAGAUGCCAUGGAGUUUAGAGAUUUCCCUUAUUGGGCUGUGUAAAAGAAACCACUGAAGCAUGCACGGCUUGCACUGGAAACCAGGUUCCAAAAUAAGCCUAGUAUGCAGCCUCAGACAAAUGACUUAAGAUCUCUAAGCCUCAUUCAAAUGACUUAAGAUUUCUAAGCCUUCAUUUCACUUAUCUGAAAUAAGGAUAAUGGUGUAUGCUUUAUAGUAUUUGGGUAAAAAUUGAUUAUUCCAUGUACAGUAUUUGGGUAAAAAUUGAUUAUUGCAUGUAAAAUAUGCUAAACUACAUAGUAUGCCAUGUUGUAUUUGGUAAAAUUAUUUUUGGAAUGGGGUUUUUUUGUGUGUGUGUAUGUGUGUGUGUGUGAGUGUGUGUGCCUGAUUCCACUCCAACCCUUAAAGGUCUCCUCACCCCAAAUUUGCUCUUGAUUUGGGCCGAGUGACUUCCAUGAAGGUUCCUGAAACUUUUUCUCCAACUUUGUGCCUUAUUUGACUUCUCAACACUAUUCUGUCAUUUCUUCAGCUCUCCUCCCUUGACGUCUUUUACAACACAUUCUUUUUUUUUUCCUACCUCUCUGAUCUGAUGUGUGUUCUCUUUCUUUCUCUUUCUCUCUCUCUUUCUCUCACACACACACACCCACCCGCACACACACACACAAACUCCCCCCUCUUUUAUCUCUCUCUCUUCCCUUUUCUGUUAGUAAAAGGCCACUAAACAUUUCAUCCCUUCAAGGCUUAAUCCUAGGGCACUAUUUAUUGUUUUUACUCAAGUGGAAACUCUAGGAGAUACAUUUAAGCCCAUGUUUUCAAAUAUCAUCUAUACCCAGAUGACUCAAAUUACAAAUCUCUAAUGUAAGAUUAAAAUUACCUUUUGUGCUCUAGAACUGAAUAAAACCAAGCAGCUCCAGAACGACUCUCUUUGAAUGAUUAUGUAACAGGAUAUCCCUAAACCUGGUUCUUUUCCUGGGCUCCCUACUGUGUUGUCACUUUCUUCUCUGUUAUACAUGAUCCUUGACACACCCUGCUCUCUCGUCCCACAUAUUCCAUCCACCAUCCAGCUGUAUUUAUUUUCCCCCUGAAAUAUUCCUUGCUUUUACUUUGUAAAAUUAUGUUAACUGAUGCAUCAUAAUUAUACAUAUUUAUCAGUAACCGUGUGAUAUUUCAAUACAUUUAUGUACUAUGUAAUGAUCAAAUCAGGGCAAUUUGCACACCUAUUACCUCAAACACUGUUGUGACAUUUCAGCAACUACCUUACAACCUCUCAAUCGCAUUUCUCAGUAAGUUAGUUCUUAGAUGGUCAUGAUAAUCAGUUUAGUUAUUUUGACUUUGGUAAGCUUGCUGAUACCAUUUUGGGCUGAAUAAUUCUUUGUUGAGGGGGGCUGCCUUGCAUCACCUUUGGCUUCUAUGCACUAGAUGCCAGUAGCGUAGCACUCUACCCUCAAGUUCCGACAAUCAAAAACUGCUCCAAACAUUGCCAAAUGUCCAUCAGUGGGCAUAGAAAGCAAAAUUACUUCCAUUUGAGAACCACAAUCAAUUCAUUUCUUUCCAUUUUGUCUUGCAGAUAUAGACCAAGGUUUCCUAUUCUCUUUCCUGGAUGGACAAAAUAGGCUUUUAACUGGGCACCCAAAUCUAUACUGCUACUCUUUCCAUUCUUCCUGUGAUGUGGAGUGAGUGCUGAAAUCAGCUGGGGUCUGCUCUGUCAUACAGUUACUGUGUGAUUUUGGACAAAAUCAUUAAUGUUUCUCAACUCUUCACUCUUGCCAUGGGUAAACAGUACAAAUAUUAUAGGGUUGUUGUGAGUAUCAAAUAUGUAGUACAUGCAUGGUGCUCAAAACAGUGGCUGGCAUAGGGUUUAAACUUUCAAUGAAUAUUAUUUAUGGUAGCCAGAAUUGUCUUUGAAAACAGAAGUCUUAUGAGAACCAAUGAAAUGCGAUAAUACCAGCUCUCAGCUAAUAGGUUUGUCUGGCAUUGUUCCUGCUCACACAGUCUUAUGUUGCAAAAGGCUCCAUCCUGAUACCUGCCCUCUAGAUACUUUGUUUUGGUUUAUGCUAUUUCAUAUUUAUCCAAGAUAUUUGUACCAGGAAUACUUUAGGCCUCUUCCUGUCUGUUCUCUCAGAAAUGCCCUUUUUUCUCUAUCUCUAUAAUCGUUGCCUAUUUCACUUCUAUCCUUCCUCAGUUUUCAGUCCAAUCACUACUUUUGCAGAGAAGCCUUCCCUGGCUUGUAUGACUAGAUUGAUUAACCCUAUUUUACCAAUUGAUAUAUGUUAUACUUCUUUUAAACAUUAAUUCAUUUGCUAUUAAUUUUUUGUGUGAUUCUUUGUAUGCUUUCUCCACUAGACUAUAAAUUAUUUGAGUGCAAAGUUUUUUUUUUUUGUUUGGGUGGUGGUUUUAGUUUUGCUUGGUGUUAGACUCAUGUCAAGCAUAAUUAUGGACUUAUCAUAGACAUUCAAUAAAUAAUU
rnacentral:lncRNA from 1 species